rnacentral:rRNA from 1 species
AUGAUCGAAGUGGAGGGCGCAGGGGGGUUAAAAUCAAUUCUACCCCCCUGCUCUAGGGUUCGCCGCCCCCCGCCGCCCUGCUCCACUGUUGCCCGUCCCUCCGCCUGCCUCGCCCCCCUCCGCUACACUCACCCCUGCCCGAUCUGGAUCUGGAUGAGGCGUUGCCUCCAGUUCCUCUCAUCGCGUCCCUUGUGCCAGCCAUGGAAGAGGGGAGGAAGAAGGGGAGGGAGAGCAAGGAGGAGGAGGAGGAAGAAGAAGAAGAAGCUUCUCUGUAGAAUCAGCCGAUCGAGCGGGGCUCUUGAUCUUGGCUAG